GAUGAACGCUGGCGGCGCGCUUAACACAUGCAAGUCGAACGGAAAGGCCUGCUUUCCCUUGUGGAUUGCGGGUACUCGAGUGGCGAACGGGUGAGUAACACGUGAGUGAUCUGCCCCCAACUUGGGUAUAAGCCUGGGAAACUGGGUCUAAUUCUCGAUAGGACUGCAGGGUGGAGCCGGUGGUGGAAAACGAUUUGCUAGUGGUAGGGGAUGAGCUCGCGGCGUAUCAGCUUGUUGGUGGGGGAAUGGCAUACCAAGGCGACGACGGGUAGCCGGCCUGAGCCGGUGAGCGUCGACGGUGGCACUGGGACUCGGUCCCGACCCCUACGGCUGCCAGAGGUAGGGGUUUGUGCUCUUGGGGCGUAGGCGGAAGCCUGCUGCAGCGCCUGCGUGAGGAAGAUCUUCGCCUUCUAGUUGUCUGCUCUUUGCGACCGAGAGGAGGCUACCUGGUUGGAAGGGUGGUGACGGUACCGGAAGAAGAAGCACCGGCUAACUACGUG
rnacentral:rRNA from 1 species